GACCGCGCAGCUCAGUUGGCAGAGCAUUGGGCUAGUAUUCCAAAGGUCGUAGGUUCGAUUCCCACCGUGGCCG